UACGGGAGGCAGCAGUUAGGAAUAUUGGGCAAUGGAGGAAACUCUGACCCAGCAACGCCGCGUGAAGGAAGAAGGUUUUCGGAUUGUAAACUUCUGAUCUGUGGAAAAAAGAGAGUGAUGGUACCACAGGAGCAAGCCACGGCUAACUACGUGCCAGCAGCCGCGGUAAU
rnacentral:rRNA from 1 species